UACGUAGGGUGCAAGCGUUAAUCGGAAUUACUGGGCGUAAAGCGUGCGUAGACGGCUAUCUAAGUCGGGUGUGAAAGCCCCGGGCUCAACCUGGGAAUUGCAUUCGAGACUGAAUAGCUAGGGUGCGGUAGAGGGAAGCGGAAUUUCCGGUGUAGCGGUGAAAUGCGUAGAUAUCGGAAGGAACGCCGGUGGCGAAAGCGGCACACUGGAUCUCAACUGACGCUGAGGCACGAAAGCCAGGGGAGCGAACGGG
rnacentral:rRNA from 1 species